GAUGAACGCUGGCGGCGUGCCUAAUACAUGCAAGUCGAGCGAACAGACGAGGAGCUUGCUGCUUGGACGUUAGCGGAGGAGGGGUGAGUAACACGUGGAAAACGUCCCUGUCAGACUGGGAACAUUUCGGGAAAGCGGAGCAAAUACCGGAUAAUAUAUUGCACCGCAUGGUUCAAUAGUGAAAGACGGUUUUGCUGUCACUUCUAGAUGGAUCUGAGCCGGUUUGGCUGGUUGGUACGGUCACAGGUUACCAAGGCAAGUAGGCGUAGGCGACCGGAGGGAGGGGUCGGCCACACUGGAACGGGGACAGGGUCCUUGCGCCUACGGUACGCAGCAGUAGGGAAUCGUCCGCAAUGGGCGAAAGCCUGACGGAGCAACGCGGCGUCAGUGAUGAAGGUCUUCGGAUCGUGAAACUCUGUUAUUAGGGAAGAACAAAUGUGGAAGUAACUAUGCACGUCUUGACGGUACCUAAUCAGAAAGCCACGGCUAACUACGUG
rnacentral:rRNA from 1 species